GAGCAGAAAGAAGAGAGGAAAACAAGGCAGAAAGACAGAAAAUAGAACAAAAAAAGUGAGAGAAAAUAGAAGAAAAUCAGAAAAAAAUAGAAAAACUUAGAAAAAAGAAAACAGGAACAAAAUUGAAAAAAAUAGAAAUUGGAAAAAAGAAAAUUGGAAAAGCAUAGAAAAAAUGAAAAAAAAAAAAAAAAAAAAAAGGGAGAGAAAUGAUCAAAGAAAAUGUUUUGUAUUUUUUUUUCUUUUUGGGGAGGGGGUGGGGAAAGAGGGAGGGGGUGUCUCGAGUUUUUUUCCCCCCUCAGGGAAGCAGCAAAACGCAGGGAAAAAAAGGCAAAAAAAAAAAAACGGUGAGAAAAAGCCGAGGAAAGGGAAAAAAAAAAAAAGAGGAUUUAACCAGAAAAGGCCAGUCUGCACUCAAAACGCGCUCAGGAGAUUCCGGCAGGGAUUUGAGGAGAAAAUCCCCAGAUCUGGGGUAUGCAGAGAAGUAAGAGUCGAUUUAAUUUCAUUUUUUUGGGGAGGUCGGUUUGUUUUUGGUGGGUAGGGGGCGGUUUUGGGGUGUUUUCCGCCCUUUCCGCAGCCGCAAGUGAGAGGAGUCAGCAGCACCAAAAAGAAGCUUUUUUGCCCCAAAGUGAAGCUGGAAGAGCAGGAAUGAGGCUCCGAGAGAUUUCCUUAGGAAAACAAAAAGUAAAACCCCCCAAAAACCCCUUGGAGGGAGGGGCUGGAGCAGGCGCGGGGGGAGGGGACAAUAAUCAUGUUUUCAGGUUUUUUCUCCAAAACCAGCAGCAGGAAUGCUUAAAUUUAGACUUUUGUCCCCAAAACGAGUAAGUGUAGGAGCGAGCGAGGGGCGGGGAAGCCUCAAAUUUGAGGCAAAACCCCCCAAAAUCGGCGGUGGCAGGUACCGGGUGCGCCCCUCCCCCACCCUGAGCCCCCCCCGGGACCCGCGCGGGUGGGGUGGGGGGAGGGGCGGCGGAUUUGGGGCGAUUUCGGCCGCUUUGGGGCGUCGGGAGGCGGGGGGAGCGCGGGGACCCCCCCGGACGUGGCAUGCGGGCACCUCCCGACCCCAAAUCCCCCCAAAACCGGCGGAAAACCGCGACCUUCGGGCGGUUUGACCGAUUCGGCCGCUUUUCCCCCCAAAAAAACGGAUUGUGCUGACAGGGUGUGUGUGUCGGGGGGGGGUCUCGUGGGUGUUUUUUGCAGCCCCGCCGGCCCUGCCCCCGCCAGAGGAGCCUCCAAGAGCCAGAAUGGGGCAAAAAACCCCCAAAUCAGGGUCUGCAGGAACAGUAGGGAGCCAGAAAUUGGUAUUUGUGCCGCUUUCACCCCAAAAUGGGCCACUCCAGGGAUGGACGGGGAGGAGGGGGAGCUUUGGGUUUGGCUGUUUUGCCCCCCACCUUAAAAAAAACCCCAAAAUUGCAAAAAUUGCCUUCAGAAUGCGCUGCUCAUAGGGCCCGCCCCCAUCUGGGAAUUUAAACCGAAACCAGGGGUUUUUCACCCAAAAAAAUGUUUAGUCAGCGCCUUUGCUUGGUGCCUUUGGGAGGGGGAGGAGCUUUUGAACCAUUUCCCCUGGAUUUUCCCCCAAAGCAAAGGGAUGGAGGAGCAGGCGUUGGGGAUGGGGGGUUGGGUGUUGUCUCUCUCCCCUCCCCACAGUGACAGUGCCAAAACCGCCUUGAUUCGCCCCAAAAUGGACAAUUUGCUCCAAAAAAAGGCUUAAAAACUAGAAAUUCCCCCCAAAAUAAAGAGGCAGGAAAAGGUGAGCCA
ensembl:lncRNA